AGGGCUAUAGCUCAGUUCGGUAGAGCACCUCGUUUACACCGAGAAGGUCUA
rnacentral:tRNA from 2 species